GUGAAUCAUCAAAUUUUAGAACGCAAAUUGCACUCUCCUCGGAGAGUAUGCCUGUUUGAGGGUCAGCCUAUAAAAAUCGACAUCGUUGCUGUUUCGCGGUGGCGUUCGUCGGAAAUUGGGUCAUCUUAAAUCCUUUUGAUUUAAGCGACUUAAAAUUUUCUUUUGUUUCCUUAACCUUUUCUAGGUUUUUUUUCUUUCCACUUUUAUGUUUUCG
rnacentral:misc_RNA from 1 species